rnacentral:rRNA from 1 species
UACGUAGGGUGCAAGCGUUAAUCGGAAUUACUGGGCGUAAAGCGUGCGCAGGCGGCUUUGCAAGACAGAUGUGAAAUCCCCGGGCUCAACCUGGGAACUGCAUUUGUGACUGCAAGGCUAGAGUACGGUAGAGGGGGAUGGAAUUCCACGUGUAGCAGUGAAAUGCGUAGAGAUGUGGAGGAAUACCGAUGGCGAAGGCAGCCCCCUGGGAUAACACUGACGCUCAUGCACGAAAGCGUGGGGAGCAAACAGG